UACAGAGGGUGCGAGCUUAAUCGGAAUUACUGGGCGUAAAGCGCGCGAGGCGGCUUUUCAAGUCGAUUGUGAAAUCCCCGGGCUUAACCUGGGAACUGCAGUCGAGACUGUCUAGCUAGAGUAUGGGAGAGGGAAGUGGAAUUUCAGGUGUAGCGGUGAAAUGCGUAGAUAUCUGAAGGAACAUCAGUGGCGAAAAGCGACUUCC
rnacentral:rRNA from 1 species